GCAUAAAUAGCUUAAAGGUAAAGCAUUAUAAUGUCACUAUAAUAGAUGUCAGUUCGAAUCUGAUUUUAUGCG
rnacentral:tRNA from 1 species